rnacentral:rRNA from 1 species
UACGUAGGGGGCGAGCGUUGUCCGGAUUUAUUGGGCGUAAAGAGCUCGUAGGCGGUUUGGUAAGUCGGGUGUGAAAUCUCCACGCUCAACGUGGAGGGGCCACUCGAUACUGCCAUGACUCGAGUCCGGUAGAGGAGUGUGGAAUUCCCGGUGUAGCGGUGAAAUGCGUAGAGAUCAGGAAGAACAUCGGUGGCGAAGGCGCUCUGCUGGACCAUAACUGACACUCAGGGACGAAAGCUAGGGGAGCGAAUGGG